rnacentral:lncRNA from 1 species
CCUGCCACCUUUAUUUGAUUUGAGAUUCCCCCAUCAGAACUCUACCAUCCUCACCCUUGAUACACCUAACUUGGUCUAGAUCACGUGCCUUCCUUUCCCUUGCUUUAGCUAACCAGAAUAACUUCUUAUCCCCGCCUCUCUCCCCUAGUUCCUCGUAUAUGCGACCGAACGCCGCGUUUUUAGCUUCCGUAACUGCCAUCUUUGCUUCUUUCCU